GGGACCCCCCGGGCUGUGGUGUGGGGGACCUUGGACUGUAGUGUGGGGGAUCCCCGGGGCUGUGGUGUGGGCGACCCUCCGGGCUGUGGUGUGAGGGACCCCCCAGAGCCGUGGUGUGGGGGACCCCCUGGGCUGUGGUGUGGGGGACCUUGGACUGUAGUGUGGGAGGCCCCCCGGCUGUGGUGUGGGGCGCCCCCAGGCUGUGGUUUGGGGGACCCCCCGGACUGUGGUGUGGGGGACCUCGGACUGUGGUGUGGGGGACCCCCGGCUGUGGUGUGGGGCGCCCCAGGCUGUGGUGUGGGGGACCCCUCGGACUGUAGUGUGGGGGACCCCCGGCUGUGGUGUGGGGGGACCCCCGGGGCUGUGGUGUGGGCGACCCUCCGGGCUGUGGUGUGGGGGGACCCCCGGGGCUGUGGUGUGGGCGACCCUCCGGGCUGUGGUGUGGGGGACCCGGUGGGGGGGACCCGGGGCCCGAGGAGCCCAGGUGCCUACCGGGCGUGGGUCGGGGGUCUCGUUCUCGGGCAGCUGCAGGUCUGCACCCCUGGCCUGGCGCCUGGGGUCCGAGGGGGACUCAAGGAAGCCACUGAGACGCCUUGUCCGGCCACCAAAGGAGCCACCUCUCUCGGGCCUAACUUCUGCCCAGGCGGUGGGCUGGGCUGCCGGGCAAGUGUCCUGCCCUGUCCCUCCAGGCCCCCGGAACCAGCUGCGGAGCGCGCCCCGGUGGGGAUGGAGCCCGAGCCGCACACUGUUCCUCUCAGGCGGCCCCUCUCGCGGGGCGCCCCCGCCGCGGCCCACCCGGCCCCUCUGCCGCUACGUCCAAGAAAGGCGCGGCGCCGGCUUGUGGAGACUCUUUAUUGUGCUGGGGGUGGGAUGGAGAGGCAGCCGCUCCUCGAGGAGGGCUGGGCCGCGGGCACCGCCAACCCCGCCCGGCUCCAGCUCCUGCGCUGGGUCCCCGCUGGGGUGGGGCUCGCGCCCCUCCCGCCCCGCCCUGCCCAGGGUGGGCAGGGCCUCCAGGGUGGGCGGGGCAUCCGUGAUGUGUGGGCGGGGCCUCCCGAGUCUGCCGGGCGCUGGGCGGCUGUGGUCCAGGCCGGCUCGCGCUCACCUAGGCCAGGACCUCCGCGCACUGGUCUGUGGAAGAGAGCGGAUCCUGAGGAAACGCCCGGCGCCCCCUCCCCACCUCCCCGGGGCAGAGGUCCCGGACCCUCCGCCGAGGGGCCAAGCCCCUCCCCUGCCUGUGAUCCCCUCCUCCCUCCCUGGCCCUCCUGUUGUGCGUCCAGCGCCCGAGGAGUGAGCCUUGGGGCCUCCCGCACCCCCUAA
rnacentral:lncRNA from 1 species